GACGAACGCUGGCGGCGUGCUUAACACAUGCAAGUCGAACGGAAAGGCCCUGCUUUUGUGGGGUGCUCGAGUGGCGAACGGGUGAGUAACACGUGAGUAACCUGCCCUUGACUUUGGGAUAACUUCAGGAAACUGGGGCUAAUACCGGAUAGGAGCUCCUGCUGCAUGGUGGGGGUUGGAAAGUUUCGGCGGUUGGGGAUGGACUCGCGGCUUAUCAGCUUGUUGGUGGGGUAGUGGCUUACCAAGGCUUUGACGGGUAGCCGGCCUGAGAGGGUGACCGGCCACAUUGGGACUGAGAUACGGCCCAGACUCCUACGGGAGGCAGCAGUGGGGAAUAUUGCAAAAUGGGCGGAAGCCUGAUGCAGCAACGCCGCGUGCGGGAUGACGGCCUUCGGGUUGUAAACCGCUUUCGCUUGUGACGAAGCGUGAGUGACGGUAAUGGGUAAAGAAGCACCGGCUAACUACGUG
rnacentral:rRNA from 1 species